rnacentral:rRNA from 1 species
AUUGAACGCUGGCGGCAGGCCUAACACAUGCAAGUCGAGCGGAUGAAGGGAGCUUGCUCCUGGAUUCAGCGGCGGACGGGUGAGUAAUGCCUAGGAAUCUGCCUGGUAGUGGGGGAUAACGUCCGGAAACGGGCGCUAAUACCGCAUACGUCCUGAGGGAGAAAGUGGGGGAUCUUCGGACCUCACGCUAUCAGAUGAGCCUAGGUCGGAUUAGCUAGUUGGUGGGGUAAAGGCCCACCAAGGCGACGAUCCGUAACUGGUCUGAGAGGAUGAUCAGUCACACUGGAACUGAGACACGGUCCAGACUCCUACGGGAGGCAGCAGUGGGGAAUAUUGGACAAUGGGCAAAAGCCUGAUCCAGCCAUGCCGCGUGUGUGAAGAAGGUCUUCGGAUUGUAAAGCACUUUAAGUUGGGAGGAAGGGCAGUAAGUUAAUACCUUGCUGUUUUGACGUUACCAACAGAAUAAGCACCGGCUAACUUCGUG